rnacentral:lncRNA from 1 species
GCAGAUGAGAGAGUCUGGAGCAGAGACAAUUUUAACUUAGCCAUUCCUAAUUUAUCUCAAGCGUUUUCAAUUCAUCUUCACUGCUCUAUGCACACAGGAACACCAGAUUGCCAUCCCUGGGGAACAGAAUGCAACCCGGGAUCUAGAGAGCUGUCACAUUCCAAGAAAUAUUUAAAUUGUGCUGAUUUUCUUCUGGAGAACUGAGCCCAGGGAAUGAAACUCUCCAUCAAGUCAUGGCUUUGCGGGCAAUAGAUCAGAGGAUAUUGCCAGUUUUCUAAUGGAUUAUUGUUAUCGGGCAGGUUUUCUCUGAAGGAUUCAUUCACCUACCCAGCCAUUGAAAUCUGCUCAACUUCCAGGUUUAGUACUAAAACUUACUUUGCCUCAUCUUAUGGUGAGUUCAUUACAAAAUAUAUUACCAUAAUUUCAUUUUAUUAGUUGUCGUUAAAUAACAUUUACUGAGUGCCCAUGAUAUGUUUGUUGCUUCCAAGCAACAUGUAGGACAAAAAAAAAUGUAAUGGUAUUCUCUCCUAAAUCAGCCAGUUUAUUAAUAUUUCAGGACCUCUAAU